rnacentral:rRNA from 1 species
CGUAGGUGCGAGCGUUGUCCGGAAUUACUGGCGUAAGAGCUCGUAGGCGGUUGUCACGUCGUCUGUGAAAUCCCUCGGCUUAACCGGGCGUGCAGGCGAUACGGGCAGACUUGAGUACUACAGGGAGACUGGAAUUCCUGGUGUAGCGGUGAAAUGCGCAGAUAUCAGGAGGAACACCGGUGGCGAAGGCGGGUCUCUGGGUAGUAACUGACGCUGAGGAGCGAAAGCAUGGGUAGCGAACAGGAUU